UACGUAGGGUGCAAGCGUUGUCCGGAAUUAUUGGGCGUAAAGAGCUUGUAGGCGGUUUGUCGCGUCUGCUGUGAAAUUUCGGGGCUCAACCCCGAACUUGCAGUGGGUACGGGCAGACUAGAGUGUGGUAGGGGAGACUGGAAUUCCUGGUGUAGCGGUGAAAUGCGCAGAUAUCAGGAGGAACACCAGUGGCGAAGGCGGCACUCUGGGCCGGUACUGACGCUGAGGAGCGAAAGCGUGGGGAGCGAACAGG
rnacentral:rRNA from 1 species